rnacentral:lncRNA from 1 species
UGAGCAUCAUAUCUCACUCCUCAAUCUCUCUAAAAAUAUUUUUUUCACUUUCUCUCACUUGAAUUUAGUCGUAGCAUUUUCAAGAAAGUCUUUGUCUUUAGUGAGGCAUUUGUGCAAUUAUGGAAUGGUAGUACUGUAAAUUCUCCAAGGAAUAUUUUUUCCUUGGUAGAAUAAUUUAUCCAUAAAAGAUCGUCUGUUUGGGUUUGAAGCUAAACCACUUAAAAGCUUUAGUUUUAGGGAUUUAUAUUUUAAGUCCUAGGUUCGUAAGCUCUGCCCGAUUCAAAAGCCUACUUUAGUUCAAAAUUAGCUCGGAACAAAAUCUUAAAUUGAGUUUUGGUCAUCCUGGUAAAAAACCCGAUCUAGUUAGUAAGCUCAACACGGUCAAAAGCUUUUUUUGGUUCGAGAUAAUCUUGGAUUAAAAUCUCAGUGGUUCGUGGCCAGCCUCGUCAAAACCUCAGUUCAGUUUGUGAGUUCAUCCUAGUAAAAAAGCUCACCUUGGUUUUAUACGAUCCUGUAUAAAAACUUGAUUUAGCUUGGGGAAUAACCGCUUGAAGUUGUUGUUUGGAAGAAAGGCUAAUCGCUUCUCUCUGAUGUUCUUUUUUUGUUAGAAGUUAGCCUGAAACUUCAUUUUCCUUGUAUAAGUGCGUUUCAGAGUUCUACCUACUAAAAGCUUUUAAGAUUUAUUGGAUACUCUCAAGAUUAAAUCUUGAGGAUAAGACUAAAUUUUCUUGACUGAAUCUAUAUAAUUAUUGGUGUUUUCUCUCUUCCCUUAACUUUUACAUUCUACAAUUUAAAUUUAUGAUGUUUAUUUUAAAAAUUUUAUCAAAAUGUUUUAAAACUUAUAAUGU